ACAAAAUCUUAGCAUCUUUCCUCCUUAGAAAAUUCUUUCCGACUAUUUCUGUUUUUUUAAUCUUUGAAAGAUAAUGGAAGAUGUUUUCUAUACUGGCAUUUAUGUCAUCCCCUCUACCACUCAUAAAAGCAUUCAGCUUGAUAACUGCCUGCUAUUUCUCAGUGUUGGAUUUAAUUAAUAGGACUGAAAUCUUCCACAGUGAAUUCGUGGGCUAAAUAUUCUGUCAUCUUCAUAGUUCCGCUCUUUGAGAAAAAAAAAAUUCCU
rfam:Ochotona princeps cont2.200690, whole genome shotgun sequence.